rnacentral:misc_RNA from 1 species
CUCACUCCACGUGUUGCAGUGCCUGUAUUCGAGUACAUGUCGUACUCUGGCGCAUCUGCUCUGCACUGGAUAUCUGUAUCGCACUCAGCAACGCGCGUGGCCGGUGCACCUUGAACACACGCAAAAGAACAAGGCCGCUAUGCAUCUACACCCACACGAGAGAAGGCGCCGACAGACACCCACGCACACAAACAUUUGUGGACACACAGUGCCCAGACGCAACCUCAGAGAGAGAGAGAGAGGGACUGAGGGCGGCGACUAAGUAUGCGCUUCCUGCGUACCCGCCGACAGCGCAGCGGCAUCUUCUUGCCCGCUCCCGCUACUCGUCGGCAGCUGCACAGCGGCGAUGCUGCACUGAGCCCAAUCGACACCGGAGUGCACUGCACAGAUGCACCAUGUGACGCUCCAGUCGUCAAUACCGCAUUGACCACUUGCAGCACCGCAGCCACCGCUUCAGGCGUUGAAUGGUGGCGGGAGUGGCCCAGCAGCGAGAGGCUGGAGAGGAUCGAUACGCUAAUGUACCUGCUGGGCCGCUAUCCACGCACGCCAGCCGGGGCUGCCUCCUCAGCCUCUGUGAAAGCGCCCAGCGCCACUACCUCUGCCCCUACGUCAUCCUUGCGGCCAGCACCGAGGACGCCGGGGUUAUCAUCAUCAUCCCCAGUUCCGAAGCAGCGGCUGACUAAAGGACAGAAACUGAGCGCCCUCAACAUGCACGCUGUUUCGACAAGAGCAGUGCUUGCCACUGCGCCGGCCGCACCGUCUUCUUCGUCGCUUCAACAGCAGCACUCUAUGGAGCCUGAUGGAGCUGGCUACCAGGACGGGUCUGUCGCCGUCGCGCCACCGUCUGCUGCGGCUUCCGUCCUGGCACGUAGCUUCCUGGGCCCGUCGUCAGCGGGCAUACCAGCCACCGGCGCUGCGCCCUUCACGCAGCUCGCUGUUGUGGAGGAGCGUGCGCGGAGGUGGCUGCAGCGCGAUUGCCAUGCCAAGCGUCAACUGCAGCGAGUACUGACCGCCGAAGACCAGGCAUGGCAGGCGCUUCUUCAGCACCCGCCGGCCCUCUACGCGGACGAGGCGGUGGUCGCCAGUAGGUUUGGCAUGGGCGGCUUCGUCACUCCACACACGCAGGGCUUUAACGGGCUGUUCCGGCAGCAGUGGCAGGACUUCCACGUGACGGAGAUGGUGGCGGUCGAGGACGACUCAUCAGAGAAAACGUGCGGAGAGGCGGCACCGGUGGUCGCGGACAAGGAUGGUGCCCGUCAAGCGGUGAAGCGCUUGGGGAGCUGUGGCGGCCGCCCACUAUCUCGCGAUUUUAAGUUCAGCACACCACCGCUGCCGUCGCUGCUCAUCAAACAGGAGGGGGAUGCGGGCGUGGCGGGGAGACGCGAAGACCGGAGGACCGCGGGCUGCUGUCGCGAGGAGGCGCCCGAUGCAGCCGCGCAAGCUGCGCAGGCCAGUCCCGCGGAGACGUCAUUCUUUCAGGUCGACGUGCGUGCGCGGCUCCAGCAGCUGCAGGAAGAGACUGUGGCGGCGAAGGAUCGGCAGGCGGCCGCCGAGGCGCUUCGACGUGAAGAGAGCCGCCAUUGGCGACGGCUGCCGCCUGCGGGUGCACCUGGAUUCACUGGCGGUGAAGCUAAUGCAGAUGUUAUGCCAAGCAGCGGCGCGUCACACGACUCUUCGUUGUGUGGGCGCACGAGUGGAUUGUGCGAUGACGGCGCCAGCACCGGUGCAGCGCCGUCCGCGUGUGAGUCAGAGCGGCCGUGGUGCGUCUCCGGCACAUGCGCGAAAAGCGAGAGGGAUGUGCUCGACCGCAGCACGGACGGAGAGCGAUGUCAUUACCUACAGUGUACCCUUCACAAGCAGCGCAUGGCCCACGGCAAUGCACUGGCUCACAUCGCCCAGACCCUGCGCAUCCACCCGCGCAGCAUCAGCGUUGCCGGCAUCAAGGACUACAUUGGUGAUACAGUGCAGCGGGUGCGACUAGAAAACGUUUCGCCUGCGGCCGCCCUCGAGGCGAACCGGCGCUUCCGGCGCAAAGGCCUGCGUAUGAAGCUGUCUGACUUCUCCUACGAGACGCGGCCGCUGAUGCCAGGCGACCUGUUCGGCAACCACUUCCGCAUUGUGCUACGCGACGUGUCGGUACCACGCGCUGCAUUGGCGGAUGCCAUCGCGGCCUUUGGCGAGAACGGCUUCCCCAACUACUAUGGCUGUCAGCGGUUUUCGUGGUUUGGUGGCAAGCAGGACGCGGCGUUCGCGCUGCUGCGCCACAACUGGCUGGCCUUCGCUUUCCUCUUUCUGAACUACACGGGCAAGGACCGCUCGUUGCGGGAGUUGCUGCAGCGACCAAAGAAGUACCCGCACCCGACCCAGGACGAGUACCGCCGCCGCGUCGUGCGCCGCCUGCGCCACAUCGCGGUCGAGCCGACUGACCUCGACGUUGCGCCGUUCCUGUCUUGCCCGCCGCUGAGCGCUGUCCUCACGCAUGCCGACGGUAGGCCGUUUAACAAGGUGGAGGAGCUGAUCUGCACACAGUUGCGCGACGCCUACUUUGAUUUGCAUGUGCAGAGCCGCAGGCUGACGGCGCAGCGGCUGUCGAGCUUUCUCUGGAACCAAGCGCUGACCCUCCGUCUGCACCACGUGGGUGGUGCUCGAGUGCUGGACGGCGACAUGGUGGCCCCUGCCGCCAUUCGGCAGCUGUCCACCAGUGUCGAGGAUCGCCGAGACUGGUUUCACACCUUUGGUGACCGCGUCACUGCAGAGAACCGGCAUCGCUACACUAUUGAGGACGUUGUGCACCCGGGCUUCUCCUUCGACGGCAUUGCACUGCCGCAGAACAUUGUAGGCGCCUACUACCAGCAAAUAUGCGACAAGUACGGCCUUGACUGGAUGGCGCAGCACUCCAGGAGUGGCCUGAAGGACUUUCGCGAGCCGCCACGACCGAUCAUUCGCAAACCGCUGGACCUGUCGUACGAGUACGACGAAGCCGCCUGCGUGCUAACGCUGCGCUUCGCGCUGGAGCGAGGCUGCUACGCGAACGUCGCGCUCUCCGAGCUGAUGAAGUCGGCGCGGUGCCUCGGCGCAGAGACGGUGACAGUGCUGCCGCUGCCAGAGGCUCUGUGGAACGACCUGGGCGAGGUGGACCCUGGCUAUGUUACAACGCUGCAGGAUAUCUACGAGGGCUAUGAGGACGGCGUGGGCUUCGUGAACGACGAGGCGCGGGUGGAAGUCGCCAGUGGGUCAGAGACGAAGGUAUGGGAGCACCAAGGGCUGCUGUUCAUCCCGGAGGCGCAGGACCCCUUCCGCAAGGCGCACCGCUGGGGUAGCCAGCACCUCCUGCGCAACUCCGAGCGCCGCGAGCGGGAGGCGGAGGACAUGAAGCGGCUCUUGUUCGACAGUUCACUCGCCACGCAGCUGAAGGAGGGCGAGGUGGACACCUAUGCUGGCCACAUUGUACCGCUGCCUCCCAACGCAUCGGCGAAGCGGGUCUACGCGAAGGUGAUGCGGCGCAAGCGGCGCUACGCUGGGUCGCCGCGGAUGGUGCCGCGCAUGCGACGGUCAACAACACCCACGUCGCACCGCACCGGCAGCUCGGGAUCGACCAAGUCGCUGCCGUCUUUCCAGUCGCUCAACAAGAGCUCGUGGAACUUCACAUGGUAGCCCAGCGCGCGGCGGACAAGUACAGAAGUGACAGACAGGGCCACAAUCAUGCGCCGGGUGUAGCGUCGAAGUUGCGCGCAUGCUCAACCUCGCCGUUCUUCGUCGCUUGCCUGCAGCAUCCACUUCCAAUUUUUUUUUUCGCGACGCCGAUCAUUCUAUUGCUUCCUUCGCAUUUCUCUCACAGACCCGUUCGCGGAGGUGUGCACUGGUGAAGCGCGUGUGGACUCCGCCCACAACGGUAGCGAACC